UUUAUUUUCAAGUUUCUUAUUUCUUAGAACCUGUAAAAUCGCGUUUGUUGUUCGGAGCAAAUCUUCGGCUCGAGCUAUCGUUAUUUUUAAAUUCUUCA